GGUGUAGGUAAAGUAAGAUAAACAUUCAUGUCGUCAUCCCAUUCAUCAUAAGGAAUUUUUGCAAUAAGUCGAUGUCACAAUUUUAAUUAUUUGUCAAGCAACCACGAUUCCAUUGCGGAGACAUCAUUUAGCGUUUUUAUUGCUGAAAGAGGAUAAACCAGCAGCAGCAGUUUAUUGCCCGAAAGGAGGUUUCAGAGGUCCUAUAAUGUAUAUAUAUUCUUGAUUAGCGUGAAAUUUUGAAUUGAUCAAACCUUGUCUGUCAGUCUGUGUGUCUGUUUAGCGUUUAGUGUUGGCACUAUCCUGAUGGCAAAAAUAAAGAUAUCGACUUUGUUUGUGACCGCAGAUUAAUAUUAAAAAUGGCCCAAAUUGACUAGAGCAGAAGCGAAUAAAAGAACUUGGAGAGUAAAAUGCGAAAAGCAAAGUUAGCGUGCUCUAAUACACUACGUACGGAAUUUGAUGACCUGACAGCUCUAAAGUCCAUAUUACUGUUGAUAGGAGGAAAAAGAUGGUUCUGUGAUAGGGAAAUUAUACGUUCAAGAGAAUUGUAUGAUUGUCAGGGCUAUUAUUCGGUUCAUUUUUCCUUCUCGUUCAUGCUGAUGUGGAGUAGGUGGUGUAAUUAUUUAUUGUUAUAAUGUGAUCACAAAGAACAUUUGAUAUAGCUCUUCUUUGCAUCCUAAAUCAUUUUUUCUCAUGUGCAAAGAAGACCAAAUUGUUCCGCUUUAGUGAAACAUUAGCCGAUAUUUUACCCGCAAAAAUUUUUGUCCUUGACAGUUUUGAGCCAGUUGAAUUCUAGCUCACUUUAAUAUUUCUAAACCCUGCUACAUGAUUUUCUAGAUAUAGAAAUAGAUUUGAUGGCAAAUUAAUUUUUUUUUUUAAAUUCAAAUUUGUACAAAUUUCACUGUGUAGCGUUGCCAUUUCUUAAAUAUUUGAAAAACUUUUUUUUUUAAAUACUUACCCUUUUUAAUAAUUGGAAUCUAAUUUCAUCAUCCCCCUUCACAAUUUGGGUUAAGUGGCGGUAUUAGUAGCUACAAUCUUACACUUCUUAAAUUCAACUUCAUCGUUUCGAAACUACUUUACAGAACAAAUUCCGAAAAAUGCUUACAGCGCUCCAUUCGCGAGUGAUAUCGGAAGUUUUGGGAAGUUUUCAAUGUUUUAUUGACUAAAUUUGAAGCCGGCGCCUUCAAAUUCGCAAUGAACAAAAUAUGCACAAAAGAAUUUUACAUAAGUAAACAUGCCUGGAUCGAUCCAGACUUACUAGAACGUAAAUAUGCUUUAUAUAAUUUCCAAAGCUGAGUUAUGGAUGUUGCGAAGGUUUUGACCAAUGAAUAUGGUGUGCAUAAAAUUCGAAAAAAACAGGUUUAAUUCAAAUAUUACCAAGUAACUACUGCGUAACUAUCAAAAAAUUGGUUUACACACUGUCACCAGUGUUGGUAGUGACGUAACUCCGGCAAAACCCAACCAAAACCCAUAUCAACACGUCAUUUGAUAACAUGCACAAA